ACCUAUUCAAUUUCAGCAACUAGGCUUGACAUAAUUACUAGAACAAAUAAAUCCAAUCGAUAGUCACACAUCAAUGGAUCCAUAGGAUCACACCAAGCAAAAAUACCACAUAUGUAUGAGAUCAAAAAAGAAAAUAAUAGAUAGAAAAGGGGAUUUGCCUCAAACAGAAUUCGAAAUUCAAAAUCUCGGGUUGUUUUGAAGAUUACAAGCAAUAAGAUCACGAACGAAAACUCACAAUCAACAAAACGACCGAACUUCGCAGGAGAAACUCGAAUCUCGCCAACGAACUCGAACUCAGCUAAACCUCAAUCAAAUCCCAUAAUUUUGAAAUGGAAAGAAAAACAAAAUGACCCAAAAGAAAAACAAAAUGACCCGAAAGAAAUGAAGUUGUCGUAGCAGCAACGAAAAUCGAACGAAAACGGCAACUAGACUCCGAACAUGAACCAGCCUGAAUUUGGUUGGCACGAAUGGAAACAAUGACUCUGAAUCUCGAUGGAAACUAGUGAACGACAAUGAAUCCGAAUCCACUUUGUUUUGGAGAGGUUGGUGAGUUGAUGUGAGGAUGGCUAAUUUUUCAAAAGGCGAAGGGAAUAUGUUCCCUACAUCCAGAAAUCAUGAUAAAAUUGAAUCGUCACCUCUGUCCCUUCGCACUAUGUUUUUCACUCUAUCCUCUCACUGUUCAGUCACUUUCUAUGUGUGUAUGCAUAUUUUCCGUCAAACUUCAGUGGAAAAGGUCUGGGGUGCAGCGGAUAUGAGAGGAGGGAGUUGGGGUCGCUACUCUUUGUGUUAGGCUUUUCGUGUGUUUAGGUUGAAAAAGAAAACCUUCAGGGGGUGGUUGGUUUUGUUCAAGAAGAAACCAUGGAAGUGGGGGUCUCUAUGUUUACCCCUGAAGAAGAGGACGAACGGGGUGGGAGGAUCUGAAAUUGUUCUGCGGCGGCUCUGAUCUCCCUGGGGUCUAGGAAAUUAGAUAUUUUCUUUUUACCAUUAAAUGAAGAGUAUGUAGAGUUAGGCUAGUGGGUAUUAGGUAUUGGUCUUGGGUUGUUAUGGGCUAGGUCCAAAAAUUAUGCCUAAAAAUGGGUUGCUAGAGCCCAAAUUUAUUCUUUCUCCGUGAACUAGACUAAAAUACGACCCCAUUUACUAGUUAUUUCUACUUAUGUAAAAUAACUAUUAAAAUAAGAUUAACC
rnacentral:lncRNA from 1 species